rnacentral:rRNA from 1 species
UACGUAGGGGGCAAGCGUUAUCCGGAUUUACUGGGUGUAAAGGGAGCGUAGACGGCAGCGCAAGUCUGGAGUGAAAUGCCGGGGCCCAACCCCGGAACUGCUUUGGAAACUGUGCAGCUCGAGUGCAGGAGAGGUAAGCGGAAUUCCUAGUAUAGCGGUGAAAUGCGUAGAUAUUAGGAGGAACACCAGUGGCGAAGGCGGCUUACUGGACUGUAACUGACGUUGAGGCUCGAAAGCGUGGGGAGCAAACAGG